ACACGCGCUCCACCGAUCUAUGAUAAACAUUAAGUUACCCUUUGGCACUCUUACCAAUCCAGGUUAGUGUGUCGGUUACCCCCACACCCUCCACCAACGACUUGGGUGAGGUACAAAGUGUAAUUUCAUGGGUUAGCACCAAAUUCACAUUUUCCUAAAGUAACUAAGAUUGGGAAUUUAUAAAAGGUUUAGUUACAUUACAUGUAUCAUUAUACUUAUAAUGAGAAUUAUAUUCCUUAUCCUAGCACUCUUACCAAUCCAGGUUAGUGUGUCGGUUACCCCCACACCCUCCACCAACGACUUGGGUGAGGUACAAAGUGUAAUUUCAUGGGUUAGCACCAAAUUCACAUUUUCCUAAAGUAACUAAGAUUGGGAAUUUAUAAAAGGUUUAGUUACAUUACAUGUAUCAUUAUACUUAUAAUGAGAAUUAUAUUC
rnacentral:lncRNA from 1 species